UGAGGAAUAUUGGUCAAUGGACGCAAGUCUGAACCAGCCAAGUAGCGUGCAGGAUGACGGCCCUAUGGGUUGUAAACUGCUUUUAUAUGGGGAUAAAGUGGGGAACGUGUUCCCUUUUGCAGGUACCAUAUGAAUAAGGACCGGCUAAUUCCGUGCCAGCAGCCGCGGUAAUACGGAAGGUUCGGGCGUUAUCCGGAUUUGUUGGGUUUAAAGGGAGCGUAGGCCGUUUGGUAAGCGUGUUGUGAAAUGUAGGAGCUCAACUUCUAGAUUGCAGCGCGAACUGUCAGACUUGAGUGCGCACAACGUAGGCGGAAUUCAUGGUGUAGCGGUGAAAUGCUUAGAUAUCAUGACGAACUCCGAUUGCGAAGGCAGCUUACGGGAGCGCAACUGACGCUAAAGCUCGAAGGUGCGGGUAUCGAACAGG
rnacentral:rRNA from 1 species